rnacentral:rRNA from 1 species
AGGAUGAACGCUGGCGGUCUGCUUAACACAUGCAAGUCGAACGCAACCUUCGGGUUGAGUGGCGGACGGGUGAGUAACGCGUGAGAAUCUGCCUUGGGGUCGGGGACAACCACUGGAAACGGUGGCUAAUACCGGAUAAGCCUUUGGGUAAAAGAUUUAUUGCCCCAAGAGGAGCUCGCGUCUGAUUAGCUAGUUGGUGAGGUAAGAGCUCACCAAGGCAGCGAUCAGUAGCUGGUCUGAGAGGACGAUCAGCCACACUGGGACUGAGACACGGCCCAGACUCCUACGGGAGGCAGCAGUGGGGAAUUUUCCGCAAUGGGCGAAAGCCUGACGGAGCAAGACCGCGUGAGGGAGGAAGGCUCUUGGGUUGUAAACCUCUUUUCUCAGGGAAGAAGCUCUGACGGUACCUGAGGAAUCAGCCUCGGCUAACUCCGUGCCAGCAGCCGCGGUAAUACGGAGGAGGCAAGCGUUAUCCGGAAUUAUUGGGCGUAAAGCGUCCGCAGGUGGCGAUUCAAGUCUGCUGUCAAAGCACGGGGCUUAACUCCGUUAAGGCAGUGGAAACUGAAUAGCUAGAGUGCCGUAGGGGUAGAGGGAAUUCCCGGUGUAGCGGUGAAAUGCGUAGAGAUCGGGAAGAACAUCGGUGGCGAAAGCGCUCUACUGGACGGCAACUGACACUCAGGGACGAAAGCUAGGGGAGCGAAUGGGAUUAGAUACCCCAGUAGUCCUAGCUGUAAACGAUGGAUACUAGGUGUAGCUUGUAUCGACCCGAGCUGUGCCGAAGCUAACGCGUUAAGUAUCCCGCCUGGGGAGUACGCACGCAAGUGUGAAACUCAAAGGAAUUGACGGGGGCCCGCACAAGCG